rnacentral:rRNA from 1 species
UUCUGUAGCAAUACAGGGUGUGGGCGCGUGGCGAACGGGUGCGUAACACGUGGAUAACCUUCCUUGAGGUGGGGAAUAACCCAGUGAAAAUUGGGCUAAUACCGCAUAACAUCGCGAUGGCACAUGCUGUUGCGAUCAAAGGCGCAAGUCGCCACAAGAGGGAUCCGCGGCCGAUUAGCUUGUUGGCGAGGUAAUGGCUCACCAAGGCAAUGAUCGGUAGCCGGACUGAGAGGUUGGCCGGCCACACUGGAACUGAGACACGGUCCAGACUCCUACGGGAGGCGGCAGUGGGGAAUCUUGCACAAUGGACGAAAGUCUGAUGCAGCAACGCCGCGUGGGGGAUGAAGCUUCUCGGAGUGUAAACCCCUUUCGACCCGGAAGAAUGCCCGCAAGGGUAUGACGGUACGGGUAUAAGAAGCCCCGGCUAACUACGUGCCAGCAGCCGCGGUAAUACGUAGGGGGCCAGCGUUGCUCGGAAUUACUGGGCGUAAAGGGUCCGUAGGCGGUGUAGCAAGUCGAUAGUGAAAUCUCUGGGCUUAACCCAGAGGCUGCUAACGAAACUGCUGUGCUAGAGUGUGAGAGAGGCGAGUGGAAUUACGGGUGUAGCGGUGAAAUGCGUAGAUAUCCGUAGGAACAUCCGAGGCGAAGGCGGCUCGCUGGAUCACAACUGACGCUGAGGGACGAAAGCUAGGGGAGCAAACAGGAUUAGAUACCCUGGUAGUCCUAGCCCUAAACCAUCAGGACUUGGGGUUUGCCCUGUACGGGGCAAGUCCCGUAGCUAACGCGUUAAGUCCUGCGCCUGGGGAGUACGGUCGCAAGGCUG